rnacentral:rRNA from 1 species
AUAUCAAUAAGCGGAGGAAAAGAAACUAACAAGGAUUCCCUAGUAACGGCGAGUGAAGCGGGAACAGCUCAAAUUUGAAAUCUCACUCUUUCAGAGUGCGAAUUGUAGUUUAGAGAAGCGUUUUCGGAGUCGAGCUCGGUACAAGUUCUUUGGAACAAGGCAUCAUAGAGGGUGAAAAUCCCGUCUUUGACCGAGUGAAGAUUCUAUGUGAUACGUUUUCCAAGAGUCGGAUUGUUUGGGAAUGCAGUCCAAAAUGGGUGGUAAAUACCAUCUAAAGCUAAAUAUUGGCGAGAGACCGAUAGCGCACAAGUA